UAAUUGGACUGGUUUAAUGGCUUGUUUCAUGGGAGAAGCUCUAAACCUUACCUCAACAUUUAUGUAAAGUUAAAGCUGCAUAGAUUCUGAGUCUUGGAAGUUUAUUUCAAAGAAAAGACAAUGCCUGUGCCACAUGUUUGACUUGGGAGAAAGAAUAAGAACAAGAAGAGGGGAGGAAAGGAGGUGUCAGAAGGCAAAAAGAAAAGUACUUCGAGGCUCUUUGGAGACCUAGAGUAAAAAAUACCACUAUUAAAUGGAGCCACCAUGAAUUUUAUAAAUAUUAUGAAGCUCCAGGAAAUAUGAGCAGGAUCUCAAAUAUAUUCAACAAGCUUCCAAUUUUUGUCUUUUUAGAUGGUUGCUCUUGGAACACAGCAAUGUGCUUUAAGAUGUCAAGCCUCCUCUGCUGAUGCUGUAUGGAGAACAGACAAGCUUUCCCAUGAAGCCCUAACCAAACUGCAGAACUGUGAAUAAAAUCAAUAAUUGUUAUGAAAAGGCACUAA